UAACGUGUGGGCAACCUGCCCUAUACUGGGGAAUAAUCACUGGAAACGGUGACUAAUACCGCAUGUCAUUACGGAAGGGCAUCCUUCUGUAAGAAAAGGAGUAAUUCGGUAUAGGAUGGGCCCGCAUCUGAUUAGCUAGUUGGUGAGAUAACAGCCCACCAAGGCGACGAUCAGUAGCCGACCUGAGAGGGUGAUCGGCCACAUUGGGGCUGAGACACGGCCCAA
rnacentral:rRNA from 1 species